CUCUUGGCAAGGACAAUUCUUCCCUCUUUGGCCAUGUUCGGGUCUGGCCAUUUAUGUGGACCAUUUUGGAGCCAAAUGCCAAGUUUAACUGACAUAGGGGAGACAUAUACCCAGGUCCUACAGUACACAUAAGGGAGAAGAUUAACUGAAAGGGAGAUUUCUAUCUCUGAAGCGUUUGUGAGACUAUCACCCAUUUGAAGAUGAGACUUCUCUUGAUACAGCUGCUUUCUGUCAUCCAUGCUCAUAUAAGUAAACCCAGUAAACUCUUUGGUUUCCUUAUCUUGACUUGGAUGAAACUUUUCUUUGGUCUGUCAGUGGCACACUGUCUGGGGACUCAGUGGCAUAAGAACAAGGACCACAUCAGGAGAGCAAGAGUUCAAAUUAGCCACGUGCCUAAAGAAGCAAACAUUGGUGCCAUGUAUAUACAAGCGAAGGAACCCUGGAAGCUAACAGAAUCUGAAAAAAAGCAAAGAAAA
rnacentral:lncRNA from 1 species